rnacentral:tRNA from 1 species
GCCAGUGAGGCAACUGUUGGUUUGUUGCAGCGGACUGUAAAUCCGUCGCCUUCGGGCAUCGGGGGUUCAAUUCCCUCCACUGUGCA